rnacentral:rRNA from 1 species
GACGAACGCUGGCGGCGUGCCUAAUACAUGCAAGUAGAACGCACAGUUUAUACGGUAGCUUGCUACACCAUAGACUGUGAGUUGCGAACGGGUGAGGGACGCGUAGGUAACCUGCCUGGUAUCGGUUGAUAACUAUGGGGAACGAUCGCUAUUAUCGCAUAAUAUUAAUUGUUGCAUGGUAAUUGAUUGAAAGGUGCAAAUGCACCACUACCAGCUGGCCCUGCGGUGUAUUAGCUAGUAGGUGAGGUAACGGAUCACCUAAGCGACGAUACAUAGCCGACCUGGGAAGGGGAACGGCCAAACUGGGACUGAGACACGGCCCAGAACUCUACGGGAGGCAGCAGUAGGGAAUCUUCGGCAAUGGACGGAAGUCUGGCCGAGCCACGCCGCGUGAGGGAAGAAGGUUUUCGGAUCGGAAAGCUCUGUUGUAAGAGGAGAACGGGUGUGAGAGUGGAAAGUUCACACUGUGACGGUAUCUAACCAGAAAGCGACGGCUAACUACGUG